rnacentral:lncRNA from 1 species
ACAAGACUUCACCUAGCAGUGCAGUCAGAAAAGAGGAUGCAACAACUCACCAUCUUUCUAAAGCUGCGUGGACGUUUUCAUGUCUGGAGAGAUGCUGGAGACAGAGAGACAGAGAGCAGAGUCUCCCAAUUCCUCCAGUCCCGCAAACACUUGCUCUAAUCCCCGAGUGGCAGUUGUGACAUUGACUGGCACUGGACUUCUGAUCGUCAUCCUGCAAAUUACAGGAGACAGAAGAGGUCACUUUGGACAUGUAAAUGUUGCCUUGCUCUGCCCUUGCAACGAGCACAACAUCACUACUUCCU